rnacentral:lncRNA from 1 species
AGUGGGAAGGAGGCGGCCGCCUAGCAGACAGGAGAGCCGGGUCCAGCCUCCGUGAGCAUUAAUUAACGUGUGACUCAAAUGACGGGCCUGCAGCAGUCAAGCUUUUGCCAAGGUAAGUUCAUUGAAAUCAAUACUGCAAUCUGUACUGAAAUCUACCUGGGGAAGAAUAUCUGGUCAUAAAGAAUCUUCUUUCAUGUGACCUUGAUGUGUAAUAAAUAGGUUUUUUCUCUUUCUUCCCACAAGGGUCAAAGAGUGAUUGAGUUAUUGAAGAAAAUGGAUUAGCUAAUGCAAAUUAAAAUAAAUUGUCUAGAAAUUAAGCCAGUCCUAAACCCUUGCCCCAGAGAAGAGAUCGCUCAUAGGGCUCCUUUAUACAUGAGUUGUCUAAAGUGCUUGUUACUGUUCAUGGCAUGUGCUCAGUAUAUGACAGUUACUAUUAUGUGGUAAUAAUAGUAGCCUGAGAUCACCCCAAUUAGUAGGUAAUGACUAACUAAUAUAAAUGAAGUUUCUACUGGUCAUAAGCACAUGGCUAUGUAUGUUGCAUCACAUACUCAUAUCUCCACCAACCUGGGCAAGAGGGAUGUACACAUCAGGAUUAUUUUAGGACAGCAGGACCCCCCACCUCCCUUUCUUCCUUCCUAAGCCUGGAGAUGAGCAGCCCCUGAAGCAUUUGGUUAAAUACAAGUGAACUUCUGCACUCAGAGUUCUGUUAGGAAGGAGACAGGAGAUAUUGUUACCGAGUGGAAGCUCAUAUUGGCUCACUGCGGUGGCCAAUAAAUCCAGAGAGGAGGUGUUGGGGCAAGGAAUAGCAGCUUUAUUCAGAAAGGCAGCAGACCCAUAAGAUAGUGGACUUCUGUCCCAAAGGGUGAUCUUACUGGUUAGAAUUCAGGCUGCUUUUAUACUAAAAGGGUGAGGCGGAAUGUGUGUUUGGGGUGGCUGGUUGCUGCCAACCUCUUGAUGCACAAAUCCUUGUUCGUGCAGCUGUCCAGGUAGGACUGGUCACAGUUUUUUAUUUUCUGUUCGGCAACUUUUUAUCUCUAUAUGAAGGGGAAAAAGUGUCAAAACAUGGAGAAGGAACUGUCAGGUAUAUUUCAGGCUCUAGGCAACAUUCUUUUUGUACAAAAGGUGGAGAGUUGGCAUGAUUAAGCACAGGCAGCAGUGCACAAGGAUUAGAGCUAAAGGACUGGAUCCAGUAUGGAGUCAGGUUUGCUCUUUGUUAUAAUAUGACUACCAGACAGCAACUAACAGUGUCUAUCCUUACAGUUCUUAGCUUUUCCACCUCUUUUUCUGCUCCUCCUAGUGAAUUCCAUAGCCAUAUGGUUCUGAAUUUAGUAUAUGUGUGAUGAAGUGAGCAUUGAAUUUCCAUACGGAAAUAUUUUCUCUUCUGUAUGUAUACUCCGUGCUCUUUUAUGAUUUUAGACUUUCAUAUUUGUUCUUGCUUCUGCUUAUCAUUCUUCUGCCUUUCUCAUUGUAUGUCAUCAUCAUGAUUUAACCAGUGUCCUUUCACCCAUUUAUUCAUUCCAUCUACAGCUCACAAAUAUCCAAAUAUCCGUUAUAAGUCAGGCAUAUAGAAAUUAUGACAGCAGGGAUCGAACCCAGCGACCUCAUGGUUCCUAGUCGGAUUCAUUAACCACUGCACCACGACGGGAACUCCUUGUAGCCUACAUUUCAAGAGACCCUUCCUCUCCUGCUACUAAUGAUCGUCUGUGAAAUAAUUACAUGACCUUCACUGUCCCAGCAGAUAACUGGUGAAAGUUCAGAAGAGCCAUCUAGCUGACCAGUCCCUGAACAUGGACACAUGCCGACACCAGAGCCACAGCAACGCAGGAUCCAAGCCGCAUCUGCGACCUACACCACAGCUCACGGCAACACCAGAUCCUUAACCCACUGCGUGAGGCCAGGGAUCCAACCCAAAACCUCAUGGUUCCUAGUCGGAUUCAUUAACCACUGAGCCACGACAGGAAAUCCUUCUUUCUUUUAAAUUUUUUAAGAUUUUUAUUUUUUCUCUAUUAUAAUUGAUUUGCAAUGUUCUUUCAAUUUCUGCUAUAUAGCUAAAUGACCUAGUCAUAUAUAUAUUCUUCUUCUCACAUUAUCCUCCAUCAUGGUCUGUCACAAGUGACUAGAUAUAGUUCCCUGUGCUAAACAGGAUUCUCAUUGCUCAUCCACUCCGUUGCAUAUGUUUGCAUCUACUAACCCCAAACACCCAGUCCAUUCCACUCCCUCCCCCUCCCCCUUGGCAACCACAAGUCUGUUCUCCAAGUCCAUGAGUUUGUUUCUUUUCUGAAGAUAGGUUUUUUUGUGCCAUAUAUUAGAUUCUAGAUAUAUGUGAUAUCAUAUAGUCUUUCUCUUUCUGACUUACUUCACCUAGUGUGAGAUUCUUGAGUUCCAGCCAUGUUCCUGCAAAUGGCAUUAUUUUGUUCUUCUUUAUGGCUGAGUAAAAAAGUAUUUUUUUUCCCACUGUGUAUAUAUACCACAUCUUCUUAAUCCAUUCAUCUGUUGAUGGACAUUUAGGUUGUUUCCAUGUCUUGGCUAUUGUGAAGAGUGCUGCAGUGAACAUGCAGGUGCAUGUAUCUUUUUCAAUGAAAGCUUUGUCUGGAUAUAUGCCCAAGUGUGGGAUUGCUGGCUCACAUGGUAGUUCUAUAUUUAGUUUUCUAACAUACCUCCAUACUGUUUUCCAUAGUACCAUGAAUUUCUAAACUAUGAGAAUUCCUUUAGAUAUUGGAUUAUUCAUAUUUUAUAUUUAUGUGUAUUUUUAUAAUAUUGCCUUUCUGGCUGAAAUAGGUAUCUUAAAAAUAUUGGGUAAUCUCUAAGUCAUCUCAAGAGCUCUCAUAUUUAUUAGAAUAAAUGUAAACACAUAAUCAUAGUUUUGUAAAAUAUUAAUUUUAUGCAUGACAGACUCAAGUAAAGCUCCUCAACUGUGUGCCCUGGCACUCUCUUCAACACAUAUUGAUUAUAGGUUCACCAGCAUAUUGAUCCUCCGAUUGAAUGGAGGGCCUGACAGCCAGGGUUCCAGGUCAGUGCUGGAGCCCAUGUCAGCACUUUAGCUAUUUACACAAUAUGCUGGGUAAAUUGUGUCAUAUUCUACAUGGGCUGUCAGAAAAAAACUUUUUGGAAACACUAAUUCCCAAGCUUUAGUAUGCAUAAGGCUCACCUGAGAAACUUGUUUAAAGAGAGCCUCCAUUCUUAGAAUUUCUGAUUCAGUCAAUGGGCAGGUGAGACCAGAAAUAUAUAUUACUAGGAAGCACCUCAGAUAUUUCUUUUUUUUUUUUUUUUUUUUUUGCCUUUUUUCCUAGGGCCGCUCCCACACCAUAUGGAGGUUCCCAGGCUAGGGGUCUAAUCGGAGCUGUAGCUGCCAGACUACGCCAGAGCCACAGCAACGCGGGAUCCAAGCCACGUCUGCAACCUACACCACAGCUCACAGCAAUGCUGGAUCCCUAACCCACUGAGCAAGGCCAGGGAUCGAACCUGCAACGUCAUGAUUCCUAGUUGGAUUCGUUAACCACUGCGCCACAACAGGAACUCCCCCAAAGCACCUCAGAUAUUUCUGAGGCACACAGUGAAAGGACUUAUGUUAUAAAGGACUUGAAUUUUUUUUGGGGGGGGGCACACCUGCAUAUGGAAGUUCCCAGGCUAGGGGUGGAAUCAGACCUGCAGCUGCCGGCCUACGCCACAGCCAUGGCAACGCCAGAUCCGAGCCACAUCUUCGAUCUACACCACAGCUCACGAUAACACCAGAUCCUUAAUCCACUGUGUGAGGUCAGGGAUCAAACCCACAUCCUCAUGGAUACUAGUCGGGCUCCUUACCACUGAGCCACAAGGGGAACUUCCAGGACUUCCUCUUUAAAAAUCAUUUUUGAUUAAUAGUCUCCAUUAACAGGAGAAAGGGAAACUUUUUUCCCCCCCCUUAGCAGCUUCUUUAUAGAUGUGAGAGCAUCCCAGGAGUUCUCUUUGAAUUUUUACUCCCUAGAUGAUUUACUUCUAGUGUCAUGGUUUUAAAUACCACCUAUAUGCUGGUGACUCCAAAGUUUAUACCUCCCAUCUGGACUUCUCCAGUGAACUCUGAACUUGAUUCUUUUAUUUACUGCUUGUCAUCACCAUUUGGAUUUACAACAAGUAGCUUAAAUUUGACAGGUCCAAAGCUGAAUCUUCUCCCCUAGAAGUUCCCAUUUUAAUCAAUGGCAUCUCCAUUCUACAUUCUCAGUUGUUCUGGCCAGAAGUCUUAGUGUCAUUCUUGUCAUCAUUCUCCCCACCCACCUCCAAAACAUCAGAACAGUCCCCACCUUUACCUUCAAAAUAUAAAGUCUUUACAAAGUCCUAAGUGUCCCAUCUUUUCCACUGCUACCUCCAGUCUAACCCACCAUGCUUUCUCAUCUAGACCAUUGCAGUUGCCCCCUUUUUCCACUCCUGCCCCAUUGACAAUGGAAUCUCUACACAGCAUCCAAAGUGAGUCCUCUGGACUGAAAGUCUGCAUCACCCCACAUGCAUAUAUUAAAACCUAGUCACGAAUGAGAUCAAAUAUUCUCUGCUCAUGAAUGAGAUCAAAUGUUCCCCCUUCCUCCAGGUGAGGACACAGCAAAACACCACCAGACACUGAAUCUGCUGGCCCCUUGAUCUUGGAUUUGCCAGCCUUCAGAACCAUGAUAAACAAAUUCCUGUUUGUUAUAAGCCACCCAGUCUAUGGUAUUUUUGCUCUAGCAGCCAGAAUGGACUAAGACAGGGAGGCUUUUAAAAAUCUAAGUUCCAUCCCCUUAGUCCUCCAUGCCACCCUUCCAAGGGCUGCCAUCUCACUCAGGGUAGGACCAGAGAUUCAUCAUAGUCUAUGAAAUGGUCUAUAUUUUUUCUUUUUCCACCAGCCCCUCCAUUCUCUCCCUCCCUCACACCUCUCCCGACAGACUCAUUUAUUUUUCAUUUAAACAAUUUAAAAAAUAGUCAUGCUUCUUUAUUGUCCAUUUAAUACUGCAAGCAGGCACCCACCUGAGGAACUUUGCACUCCCUCUUUCCUCAAUUAAUGAGGUUUAAUGUGACUUAAUCCUCAUUUCCUCCAGAUCUUUGGUCAAACGUCACCUUCUCAGAAGGAAACUUCUCUAACCACACCCCCACCACUCUCUACUCCCCUUACCCUGUUUUUGGUCCCAGCUAUGCAUCACUUGACAUUAACUUUUUCCUUGUCUACCUCUCUUCAAAAGACUCCAUGAGAGCAGGAAAUCUAUCUGUACCUAUAUUAUUCAUUGCCAUUUUCCCAGAAUGUAGAACCAUGUUUAACUCCGAAGAGAAACUCAGUGUUUCCAUCAGUAAGUGAAUAUAUUGAUAUCAUUUAUAUGCGAAGUCUGAAAUAAAUGAAUCUGUCUACAACACAGAAACAGACACACAGACAUAGAGAACAGACUUGUCGUUCCCAAGAGGGAGGGGGAGAGGAGGAGGGAAUGGGAUGGACUGGGAGUUUGGGGUUAGUAGAUGCAAACAACUAUGUCUAGAAUGGAUAAGCAAUGAGGCCCUGCUGCAUAGCAUGGGGAACUCUAUCCAAUCCCUUGGGAUAGAACAUGAUGGAAGAUAAUAUAAAAAAGGGAAAGUAUAUAUAUGUAUGGCUGGGUCACUUUGUGCACAGCAGAAGUUGGUACAACAUAGUAAAUCAACCAUACUUGAAUAAAAAAAUAAGUGCAUACAUGAAAAUAUAAUGUAAAAUAGAUGUUCAGUGACUAUUAGAGUAUCAUUUAGUCACUUAUUGAAAAAACUAUUAGAAAGAACCUGUCUCACCAUGCACACGAUAUCACAGGUGACCUGUGGAAUGAACAAAUAUUAAGAUAAAUUAACACAUUUUCUGAGCAAUACUGAGAGUAACUAGGAAAUAUUAGCCAUGGUUUACAGAGAGCUUUGUAUUGUACUAUAGGAUCCUCACAAGUAUACAGACAAGGAUGAGUAUACAUCCUUUUUACAGAUGAGGAAGUGUUACCAGAGGGUUAACGUUCCUCCUCUUUGCUCAAACAAAAUUAUAGGGCAGGGUAAUAGCAGGUGAGAUUUACUGUGCUUUCGUGACAUGCCUGGCUUUGCAUAAGUGGUUCUCAGACAUUAGGUCAAUGAAAUGCAUAGAAACCCUUGCUGGAACCUGCUGUCAUCACGUUGUGGCUGGAAAGGAAAACUGAGGUUGAAUUACAGUUCGCUAAGGUACGAUUCAAAAGUGGGCAGUCUGGAGUUCCUGCUGUGGCUCAGUGGUUAAAGAAUCUGACUAGGAACUAUGGGGUUGCGGGUUCGUUCCCUGGCCUUGUUCAGUGGGUUAAGGAUCCGGCGUUGCCGUGAGCUGUGGUGUAGUUUGCAGACGCGGCUCGGAUCCCACAUUGCUGUGGCUCUAGUGUAGGCUGGUGGCUACAGCCCCGAUUCGACCCCUAGCCUGGGAACCUCCAUAUGCCACGGAGCGGCCCAAGAAACAGCAAAAAAGAAACAGGAGUUCCUGUUGUGGCUCAGCCGGUAACGAACCCAACUAGUAUCCAUGAGGUUACCAGUUCGAUCUCUGACCUCCCCCAGGGGAUUAAGGAUCUAACGUUGCCUGGAGCUGUGGUGUAGGUCGCAGGCGCAGCUCGGAUUUGGCUGUGGCUGUGGCCAGCAGCUGCAGCUCCGAUUUGACCCCA